UACAGAGGUGGCAAGCGUUGUUCGGAAUUACUGGGCGUAAAGGGCGCGUAGGCGGCCUUCUAAGUCAGACGUGAAAUCCCCCGGCUUAACCUGGGAACUGCGUCUGAUACUGGGAGGCUCGAGUAUGGGAGAGGGAUGUAGGAAUUCCAGGUGUAGCGGUGAAAAUGCGUAGAUAUCUGGAGGAAUACCGGUGGCGAAGGCGGCAUCCUGGACCAUUACUGACGCUGAGGCGCGAAAGCUAGGGGAGCAAACGGGGAUUAAGAAACC
rnacentral:rRNA from 1 species